rnacentral:ribozyme from 1 species
GUCCUUGCCGGUCGAGGUACCUCUCUUUCGCUCUUUUGUGUCAGUUGAGGCGCCUGACUACGGGAAGGCAGAAAGGAAAGGAAAGGAAAGGAAAGGAGGCCCAUGCAGAGGAACACAUGCAGCGCGGGUCAAAGUGCUCCUGUGAAGGUUGAUUGGAAAUCAGUUCUGACAGUCUUCUUAUAGGGGAAGGAA